CAGGUGCCCACUUGGAGAAAAGAAUCAGGGGAAAAAGAAAACCAGAAAUUAUGUGCUGUCAUUGCUCUGGUAUCUUGAAGCCUAAGCAGGCAGAGUGCUACUGUCAGGCAUUACUUCUAGAAAGCAAAGUAGCUCUAACCUCUGCACACAUCUGAGCAGAAAAUGAAGCUGAUGGUUUUGCAAAAUACAAAUGUUAUGUCUGCAAGCAGGUACGUCUUUUUGUUCCUGUCCUGGGGUGACGUUGCAGUGCUUUGUAUCCCCAAAUCAUGUGCUGUUCGUGCCUGGAGGGUUUGUUUUGUCCAGCUGGACAGUGCCCCUCCCCCAGGGGCAAGCCAUGGCCGCUGCGCCUGCUUGCAAGCCACUGCCCCCCGGCUCUCUCGCUCGCUCUCUUCCCCCCUGGCUGCUCGGCUCGGCUUGGCUUGCUAGGAAUACCACCGGGACACCAAGAAACCCCAGACGCCUGUUCGUGACAAGAAAUACGCGUUUUCUGCCCUCCCCGGCAUCGGCUGAGGCUGUACAUCCACACGGACGGGUGAAGUUUUCUGCGUCACCCGUGGCUGUUUUUUUCUUGUGUUGGGGAGUGUUUCUCUGUGUGUUUGCUAAAUAAACAAGUUUUUUCCACUUUUCCUCUGAGGAAAUACUUCCCGAACCCGGUAGUGGGAGGGGGAAGAGUUUGGGGAGUUUGCUCCUUAGGGGGCUUCUUUUGGAGAUUCUUCCCCUAAUUUGUCCUAAACCAG
rnacentral:lncRNA from 12 species